CUCUGUUGGUCCUAUUUGCUCAUGAUACAGGAUCAGCACAGACUUAACAACGAACUGGAGGAUCCCAAAGCACUCCACAAACCACACAUGGAAGUGACUUCUGCCUCUGCUGAAUAUGGACGAUGAGGUGAAACAUGCCAACCCCUUUAACAUCACAAACCAGCACUGCCACACAGCAGCUCAGGAAAAAAAAAGAGAGAUUUCCCAGCAGAGGCACUACAUAUGAAAAAUCCAAGCAG